rnacentral:rRNA from 1 species
UACGAAGGGUGCAAGCGUUACUCGGAAUUACUGGGCGUAAAGCGUGCGUAGGUGGUUCGUUAAGUCUGAUGUGAAAGCCCCGGGCUCAACCUGGGAAUUGCAUUGGAUACUGGCGGGCUAGAGUACGGUAGAGGGUGGCGGAAUUCCUGGUGUAGCAGUGAAAUGCGUAGAUAUCAGGAGGAACAUCCGUGGCGAAGGCGGCCACCUGGACCAGUACUGACACUGAGGCACGAAAGCGUGGGGAGCAAACAGG